UGGAGGUAAAUAGUUGAUUCUUAAAUUUUUAUUUAUUUUAUUUUCAUUAUUGGAUAGGCACAGAGGGAACUUGAGAGGGGAAGGGGAGAUAGAGGAGGGAAAGACAGAGAGACAUCUGCAGCCCUGCUUCACUUCACCACUUGUGAAUCUUUCCCCCUUCAGGUGGGGAUCAAGGGCUUGAACCUGGGUCCUUGCACACUGUAAUGUGUACACUUAACCAGGUGCACCACCACCUGGCCCUUAACUAGUUAAUUUUAUUCACAGAAUAAAAUCAAGAAUGGUAGCUACUUUCACCCAAAUCCAACUUUCUAACUCUUUUCUCUACUCUGACACCAUUUUCUCAGACAGUAUUUCUAUCCAACUCCAUGUUAAGCUAUCAAACUGAAGAAAAACAACCAUAAUUGUGGGACCCUAGAAACAUGCCUAAAAUGGACUUCCUAGCUCCCUUCCACCCUAAGAUCCCUAAUCUCAUCUGCUCUAUUGCUAAUGUUUGGUUCCUUUCAUUAAUCAUUUUGUCUCGAUUUAUAUCCUGCUACCUUCCAGACACCAAGUUGCAGACUAUUAUGAUUCCAUCCUAACUUCUCUGGGAGACAACCUUACCAAAGUGUCCUGGAACCUCACCUCUCCAGAGCGGUAUUUACCCCACUAGAAAAAGAGAAACAGCUGGGGGUAUGGGUCGACAUGCCAAUGCCCAUGUCCAUUGAAGAAACAGUUACAGAGCCAGGAGUCAGAAAACGAGUUUAAAUAAGAAGAAAUGAACCCACCUUCUCCAACCCAUCCUGGAUGAAGCUAGAAGGAAUUAUGUCAAGUGAGAUAAGUCAGAAAGAGAAAGAGGAGUAUAGGAUGACGCCACUCAUAAACAGAAGUUGAGAAAGAAAAAUAGAAGUAGAAACGCAAAGCAGAAAUUGACUGAGUUUGGAGUAUGGCACCAAAGUAAGAAAGCAGAAGUACACUAGAGUUUGCAGUGAGUACCUCCCUAACACUUCCUCUCCACUAUCCCAAGCUUUGGGUCCAUGAUUGCUCAACAAUUUGUUUGGCUUUGUAUGUUAACUCUCUUUUCAGUCACCAGGUUCCAGAU